rnacentral:rRNA from 1 species
UACGAAGGGGGCUAGCGUUGUUCGGAUUUACUGGGCGUAAAGGGUGCGUAGGCGGGCAGGUAAGUCAGUGGUGAAAUCUCCGAGCUUAACUCGGAAACUGCCGUUGAUGCUAUUUGUCUUGAAUAUUGUGGAGGUAAGCGGAAUAUGUCAUGUAGCGGUGAAAUGCUUAGAUAUGACAUAGAACACCAAUUGCGAAGGCAGCUUACUACACAACGAUUGACGCUGAGGCACGAAAGCGUGGGGAUCAAACAGG